GCCUAGCCGUAAACGAUGGAUACUAGGUGUUGUGCGACUCGACCCGUGCAGUGCUGUAGCUAACGCGAUAGAAGAAAUGUUUCUUCUAUCUAAAAUAUUAGAAAGAAUUUUGCUGCCGUAACUAUAACGGUCCUAAGGUAGCGAAAUUCCUUGUCGGGUAAGUUCCGACCCGCACGAAAGGC
rnacentral:ncRNA from 1 species